GACGAACGCUGGCGGCGUGCCUAAUACAUGCAAGUUGAGCGCUGAAGGUUGGUACUUGUACCAACUGGAUGAGCAGCGAACGGGUGAGUAACGCGUGGGGAAUCUGCCUUUGAGCGGGGGACAACAUUUGGAAACGAAUGCUAAUACCGCAUAAAAACUUUAAACACAAGUUUUAAGUUUGAAAGAUGCAAUUGCAUCACUCAAAGAUGAUCCCGCGUUGUAUUAGCUAGUUGGUGAGGUAAAGGCUCACCAAGGCGAUGAUACAUAGCCGACCUGAGAGGGUGAUCGGCCACAUUGGGACUGAGACACGGCCCAAACUCCUACGGGAGGCAGCAGUAGGGAAUCUUCGGCAAUGGACGAAAGUCUGACCGAGCAACGCCGCGGGAGGGAAGAAGGUUGUCGGAUCGUAAAACUCUGUUGGUAGAGAAGAACGUUGGUGAGAGUGGAAAGCUCAUCAAGUGACGGUAACUACACAGAAAGGGACGGCUAACUACGUG
rnacentral:rRNA from 1 species